CAGCCGCCGCGGUAAUACGAAGGGUGCAAGCGUUAAUCGGAAUUACUGGGCGUAAAGCGUGCGUAGGCGGUGAGUUAAGUCUGCUGUGAAAUCCCCGGGCUCAACCUGGGAAUGGCAGUGGAUACUGGCUCGCUAGAGUGUGUCAGAGGAUGGUGGAAUUCCCGGUGUAGCGGUGAAAUGCGUAGAGAUCGGGAGGAACAUCAGUGGCGAAGGCGGCCAUCUGGGACAACACUGACGCUGAGGCACGAAAGUGUGGGGAGCAAACAGGAUUAGAUACCCCGGUAGUCCCUGUCUCUUAUAU
rnacentral:rRNA from 1 species